UCUAUGAGAAAGGUUUUCCUCCCGCCCCCGCAAGGGACAGCGGAGAGGGAACAAACACAUUUAAAAAAGAUGUAAAAAGACUUCCCUGCCUCCUCUUCCUUUCCUUCCCAUUUUUUUAUCAACAAACCGGCGUCCGAAAAGGCAGCAGAAAAACCUCCUUGGGUGCUGGUUAUGUCUACCGGGGGCAUAGCUCAGCUGGCUAGAGCAUCGGCUUUGCAAGCCGAGGGUCUGGGGUUCGAAUCCCCAUGCCUCCAUUUCAUCUUGAUGGGGAUUCGAUCCGAGGGAACGCAUCCCGAAUGGAGAUGAAAGAGGCACAGGAUGUGCCUCGCCAGUGAGCGAGGCGGGUCGUAGGGAGCGAACAGGACGUUCGCGACUGAAGACCGAAUCCCCAUGCCUCCAUUUGUACACUAGAUAAUAUGAUCUUUGACAAGGAAGCGGCUUUGAGAGAAGAGCUGCCCUUUGGCGGAGCCGGGAGGUGUUGAAGCUGAAGGAAAGAGAAGGGGAAAGAGGUAAUAUGGUCAAGCAAAUAAGGGUCCAUGGAGGAUGCCUAGGAGCUACCAGACGACGAAGGCCGUGGUAAGCCGCGAAAAGCUGUGGGGAGGAGCACACAUCCUGAGACCCGCAGAUCGCCGAAUGGGGAAACCCGG
rnacentral:misc_RNA from 1 species